rnacentral:lncRNA from 1 species
AUGGGUUUGGUUCAGAUCUUUUUUCCCAAGUUUCUCAUUUUUCUAGGACCAGCAGCUGUGCAGGAAUGUUCCUCUAAAGAAGAUGGGAAAAGUUUAAGAAGCACGAUUAACCAGGAAAACAGUGCUAGGGAUGAAUCAUGGCUGCACCAUCUAAUUUCAUCUACUCUUAAAGGAGCAGGAUCCCCGAUGAAUCAUCACCAAGUAUGUGAUUCUCCACAAAUGGACUGUGGCCAUGAACUUGGAGUGGGUAUAGAGUGAUUCAGAGGAUGCAACAAGGAAAGGAAGUUGGAAAGUUGCAGAGAGUAGAUUGGGAGACCUACAAAUUGGGAAGACUUUUCCUUGAAUAACUAAGAGGCAGUUGCAGUUGAAACCAUGGAACUAGAGGGAAGCGAAGAAAGCCACUGAGUGGCCACUCUGAGCCAGGUGGUGUCAGAGGGCAGUGGUGAAACAAGGGUUGCCCUUGGAGGCAGAUAAUCUGGAAGUGAUCCUGGCUCCAUCCCUAACUAGCUGUGUGAGCUAGGGAACAUAUCAUAACCUCUGUGUGACUCACCUUUUUCAUUUGUAAAAUGGGCAUAACAAUCAUAUACACCACAUUUUGACAUUGUAAGAAUUAAGUGAAUUAAUUGGGGUUAAGUAGGAGAACUCAGAACAGUGUCUGGAAAAAAAAAUUACAUUUUGAAAGAAAGGAAUCCUAUGAAUGUUCUAAUUGUGGGAAACAUUCUCCCAGAAUGCAAAUCUAAUUAGCAACGUAGAAUUCACACCAGGGAGGACAUGUGUAGAUAAAGUGAGAGAGAAGGUUUCAUCAACACAUCUAAGAAUUAAAACCUAUGGAUAUACUGGAUGUCAAAAAUCCUGCAGCAAGAAAUCCAGUGUCACUGUAUUUAGAGAUUCAUAGCAAGGUGAAAUUCUACCAGAAUGGUGAAUUAGAAAGAGCAUUUCUCCUAAAACUAAUGAUAGAAGGAUAAUGAUGCUCUAGAAUGAUAUAUUUUUAUAGGAUAGAUUUAAUUAUAGAGUGUAUCUGUAUCUAUAUUAACUGUGGAUAUUAAGCUGUGAAAUCUGAAUAAAUGAAAUCAUUAAGACA